CCUACGGGAGGCAGCAGUGAGGAAUUUUGCGCAAUGGGGGAAACCCUGACGCAGCAACGCCGCGUGGGUGAAGAAGGCUUUCGGGUCGUAAAGCCCUGUCAGGUGGGAAGAAACUCUUCAGUACUAAUAAUGCUGAAGUCUGACGGUACCACCAGAGGAAGCACCGGCCAACUCCGUGCCAGCAGCCGCGGUAAUACGGAGGGUGCAAGCGUUGUUCGGAAUUAUUGGGCGUAAAGAGCGUGUAGGCGGCUUGGUAAGUCAGAUGUGAGAGCCCUGGGCUCAACCCAGGAAGUGCAUUUGAAACUACCAGACUUGAGUACGGGAGAGGAGGGGGGAAUUCCCGGUGUAGAGGUGAAAUUCGUAGAUAUCGGGAGGAAUACCGGUGGCGAAGGCGCCCCUCUGGACCGAUACUGACGCUGAGACGCGAAAGCGUGGGGAGCAAACAGGAUUAGAUACCCUGGUAGUCCACGCCGUAAACGAUGAGCACUAGGUGUAGCGGGUAUUGACCCCUGCUGUGCCGUAGCUAACGCAUUAAGUGCUCCGCCUGGGGACUACGGUCGCAAGACUAAAACUCAAAGGAAUUGACGG
rnacentral:rRNA from 1 species